UACGCUUCUGUGACAUCUCCACCUUCAAUAUGAAUGUCUCAGAGGUGUGAUGUUGUGGCUUUGUCAUCACACCACUAUUGUAACAGGGGCAGGACAGGAUCACUGAGAGCUGGCGGAGUGGUUCCCUCCAUCUCCUUCCCUCGUUUUUUCAUCUUUGAGGACCUAGCCAGUCACUCCAAAUGAGUCCUCAAUAACUGCCCUGACCCAGAUUCGCUGCUUCCUUCAACCUUCCAGACACCAUCCACACACUGUCGCUGGGUCCCCAGUCGUAUUGUUCUGUACACGUGUUUGUAUUUAGACGACUGAAGCAAGAGGGACCAGAGCUACAAAAGGGGAUGAGGAAGAGAAGUCACCCAGCUGUGAGGCCUUGCAUGGGAUUAAUGUCCCCAACUGGCAACAAAGGAGGACAGGGGGGGGAAAGGUUUCCCUACCUGGCAUCAGAACAGCUGGAAACAGCUGACAAGUCAACAUGUGAACCAGAGACAUGCACAAAAAUCAUUCCUGAAGCCAACUUGGCAAAGUUAGUAAGGCGAGGAGCAACUUAUUGAAAUACAAAAACCCUGCUGCAGGAAGUCAGAGAGUAAGGCAAUUUAAAAAUGCAAAUUAUUAGUCCUGGUUACAUAAAGGGUGAUCAGGACUCCUGCAUGAAGCAGAG